GGGCGACGGUUGUCCCGGUUUAAGCGUGUAGGUGUGUGUUCCAGGUAAAUCCGGUUCACUUUAACACUGAGGCGUGAUGACGAGGCACUACGGUGCUGAAGCAACAAAUGCCCUGCUUCCAGGAAAAGCCUCUAAGCAUCAGGUAACAUCAAAUCGUACCCCAAACCGACACAGGUGGUCAGGUAGAGAAUACCAAGGCGCUUGAGAGAACUCGGGUGAAGGAACUAGGCAAAAUGGUGCCGUAACUUCGGGAGAAGGCACGCUGACACGUAGGUGAAGUGAUUUACUCAUGGAGCUGAAGUCAGUCGAAGAUACCAGCUGGCUGCAACUGUUUAUUAAAAACACAGCACUGUGCAAACACGAAAGUGGACGUAUACGGUGUGACGCCUGCCCGGUGCCGGAAGGUUAAUUGAUGGGGUCAGCGCAAGCGAAGCUCCUGAUCGAAGCCCCGGUAAACGGCGGCCGUAACUAUAACGGUCCUAAGGUAGCGAAAUUCCUUGUCGGGUAAGUUCCGACCUGCACGAAUGGCGUAAUGAUGGCCAGGCUGUCUCCACCCGAGACUCAGUGAAAUUGAACUCGCUGUGAAGAUGCAGUGUACCCGCGGCAAGACGGAAAGACCCCGUGAACCUUUACUAUAGCUUGACACUGAACAUUGAGCCUUGAUGUGUAGGAUAGGUGGGAGGCUUUGAAGCGUGGACGCCAGUCUGCAUGGAGCCGGCCUUGAAAUACCACCCUUUAAUGUUUGAUGUUCUAACGUGGACCCGUGAUCCGGGUUGCGGACAGUGUCUGGUGGGUAGUUUGACUGGGGCGGUCUCCUCCUAAAGAGUAACGGAGGAGCACGAAGGUUGGCUAAUCCUGGUCGGACAUCAGGAGGUUAGUGCAAUGGCAUAAGCCAGCUUGACUGCGAGCGUGACGGCGCGAGCAGGUGCGAAAGCAGGUCAUAGUGAUCCGGUGGUUCUGAAUGGAAGGGCCAUCGCUCAACGGAUAAAAGGUACUCCGGGGAUAACAGGCUGAUACCGCCCAAGAGUUCAUAUCGACGGCGGUGUUUGGCACCUCGAUGUCGGCUCAUCACAUCCUGGGGCUGAAGUAGGUCCCAAGGGUAUGGCUGUUCGCCAUUUAAAGUGGUACGCGAGCUGGGUUUAGAACGUCGUGAGACAGUUCGGUCCCUAUCUGCCGUGGGCGCUGGAGAACUGAGGGGGGCUGCUCCUAGUACGAGAGGACCGGAGUGGACGCAUCACUGGUGUUCGGGUUGUCAUGCCAAUGGCACUGCCCGGUAGCUAAAUGCGGAAGAGAUAAGUGCUGAAAGCAUCUAAGCACGAAACUUGCCCCGAGAUGAGUUCUCCCUGAGACUUAGAGUCUCCUGAAGGAACGUUGAAGACGACGACGUUGAUAGGCCGGGUGUGUAAGCGCAGCGAUGCGUUGAGCUAACCGGUACUAAUGAACCGUGAGGCUUAACCUUACAACGCCGAAG
rnacentral:rRNA from 1 species